AGUGAACGCUGGCGGUAGGCCUAACACAUACAAGUCGAACGGCAGCACAGUAAGAGCUUGCUCUUACGGGUGGCGAGUGGCGGACGGGUGAGGAAUACAUCGGAAUCUACUUUUUCGUGGGGGAUAACGUAGGGAAACUUACGCUAAUACCGCAUACGACCUACGGGUGAAAUCAGGGGAUCUUCGGACCUUGCGCGAUUGAAUGAGCCGAUGUCGGAUUAGCUAGUUGGCGGGGUAAAGGCCCACCAAGGCGACGAUCCGUAGCUGGUCUGAGAGGAUGCUCGGCCACACUGGAACUGGGACACGGUCAAGACUCCUACGGGAGGCAGCAGUGGGGAAUAUUGGACAAUGGGCGCAAGCCUGAUCCAGCCAUACCGCGUGGGUGAAGAAGGCCUUCGGGUUGUAAAGCCCUUUUGUUGGGAAAGAAAAGCAGCAGGUUAAUACCCCGCUGUUCUGACGGUACCCAAAGAAUAAGCACCGGCUAACUUCGUG
rnacentral:rRNA from 1 species